UGUGGUCUAGCUGAAGCUCUGGAUCUUGUUUCUGUCAAGUUCCAUUUGUUAAGACUCCAGUGCUACACUCACAGGAGCGCAGGCCCUGGGAACAGAGUGUGGUUCUUCUAGGUGAUCCAGAGAUUCAUCUAUCUACUGAGGAGGAAGGAUGUACCCCUGCUGAAUGAAUGACCUUCCCAUGGUACCUUCAUUCAGAGUCACUGAGAAAAAAGGGU
rnacentral:lncRNA from 12 species